CUCACAACGAACACUGGCGGCGUGGAUUAGGCAUGCAAGUCGAGCGGGAUCCUGUUGAUUCAAUCCUUCGGGAGAGAAACUUCAGGUGAGAGCGGCGAACGGGUGAGUAAUAUAUGGGUAAUCUGCCUUGAAGCCCGGGAUAGCCAUUGGAAACGAUGGGUAAUACCGGAUGUGCUCGCUCCGCACCUGCGGAGUUAUGUAAAGGUGGGGAUCUUCGGACCUGCCACUUUAAGAUGGGCCCAUAUCCUAUCAGCUUGUUGGUGAGGUAACAGCUCACCAAGGCUUUGACGGGUAGCCGACCUGAGAGGGUGACCGGCCACACUGGGACUGAGACACUGCCCAGACUCCUACGGGAGGCUGCAGUCGAGAAUCAUUGUCAAUGUACGAAAGUAUGAACAUGCGACGCCGCGUGGAGGACGAAGGCCUUCGGGUUGUAAACUCCUGUCAUGAGGGAGGAACCGCAGACGGUUAAUACCCGUUCUGUUUGACAGUACCUCAAGAGGAAGUCACGGCUAACUCUGUGCCAGCAGCCGCGGUAAUACAGAGGUGGCAAGUGUUGUUCGGAUUUACUGGGCGUAAAGGGUCCGCAGGCGGUUCUGUGUGUCAGAUGUGAAAAUCCACGGCUCAACCGUGGAACUGCAUUUGAAACUACAGAACUAGAGUACAGCAGGGGAGAGGGGAAUUCAUGGUGUAGCGGUGAAAUGCGUAGAUCUCAUGAAGAACACCGGUGGCGAAAGCGCCUCUCUGGACUGAUACUGACGCUCAUGGACGAAAGCCGGGGGAGCGACAAGGAUUAGAUACCCUUGUAGUCCCGGACAUAAACGGUGUGCACUUGAUGU
rnacentral:rRNA from 1 species